UCUAUUUCACUUUUUCUUCUUCAUCUCCCUUACCUCUAAAACUAGCCGCCCUAAAAAUCUCCAACCCUACUUCGUCGGCGGCUACACCCAAACAACUCUAAUCUCCCUCAAAUUCACACCUCAUAAUCUCCUCUUCCUCCUCAUAUUAUAUCUCAUUUUAGUUUCUUUCAAAAAACCCCAUAAUUUCGCAAUUUUUAGAUCUUGGAACCGUCAGAAUUUUUCUUUCGAGACUUGGCCUUGUGAAUUCGAAAUCAACAUCAGUUGUUUGCUCUUCAUAAGAGCAAUCAAUUGAUGAUGAGUUCAAUUCCCAUUUUUUCCGUCGAUUGGGUCUUCGAGCGGAAGCUUUUAGGUAUUUUCUUCCCCAUUUCUUAUUUUCUUUGUAUUUGCUUUCUUUCCUUCUUUUCUCUUCUUAUCUUUUAAAAUUUUCAAAUUAGGAUUAAAGUGUUAAACUUUUUGUUCUGUUUGAUUAUGUUAGUUGCAUUAUUAAAAUGAUUUUAAUUUAUUUAAGAAAAAUGGAAUUAUGAUUGGUUGUAUUUUUUUUAUUUUUUUUUUGAUUGAUUUGCUGAUCUGUGUUGGGUCGACUUGUUAUGGACCAUUUGGUCAUAGGCGCCCGACCCAGGUCAUGUGCACCUGACCCAGAUGAUUUUGAAAAAGAGGAUAAGGGAAAGAAUCAACACGCAAAAGGGCAUCUGACAUUUUCUUUUCGGUUAGGAAAUAUUCCUUACUCCUCUCACAUUCCCUGAUUUCACGAUGACAGAAUUCUCUCUCCUAACAGACCCUCUCUGAUUUUUUAUUCACAGUAUAUAUACCUCUCACAAAUCUGGAUCUAACGGAGAUGUCAGAAUCCAUGGCUUUUUCUCCUUCUUUGUAUCUCACACCUAAGUGUAUUCGUCUGACCGGAUUUUGGUAGAUACAACAUGAUAGUAUAUUCUCAGAUCUAGCCGGAUUUUGUUCGUCUUCAUUUUUAAUUUUAAUACAAUGUAAUGGUAUUUUGCUUGGUCGAAAAUACCAUCUCCUGUGAACUUUUUUCUCUUAUUCGCUAUUGAGUCACAUACAAUGACACAAAUACAUUGUAUUCUGUACAAAUAAAUUUGAGUGUAUUCUGUAUUUUUCAAUGCAAAUAUAAUAUAUUUUAUAUAUUUUUGCAUGUAGUUAUGUAUUCCAUAGGUUAUUUUUUAUGGCAGAU
rnacentral:lncRNA from 1 species